AGCUCGAGUUUCUCUUCAUUGUCGCAUAAAUCUUUCGGGCCUUUUACUAAAGAUUUCGCGGGAGGGGGAACUUUAUGAAAGUGAUCUGUAUUUUUGGUGCUCUUGCCUACAGCAGA